rnacentral:rRNA from 1 species
UACGAAGGGGGCUAGCGUUGCUCGGAAUCACUGGGCGUAAAGGGUGCGUAGGCGGGUCUUUUAAGUCAGGGGUGAAAUCCUGGAGCUCAACUCCAGAACUGCCUUUGAUACUGAGGAUCUUGAGUUCGGGAGAGGUGAGUGGAACUGCGAGUGUAGAGGUGAAAUUCGUAGAUAUUCGCAAGAACACCAGUGGCGAAGGCGGCUCACUGGUC